rnacentral:lncRNA from 1 species
ACUCCCUCUAAAGUUAUUUUGACUACACAUGAUUUUUUUUUUGUGUACAAGUAUUACAGUUUAGUGCCUGCCUCUUGGUAUAAAAUAUGAAUCUGUUGUAAUUAUUUUUAGGUUUCUCCUGACCCAUUCUUCCUGAUGAUUCCUCUAAUGACCACGCCCCUAAUAGUCCUAAUAGUCGUAGGCGUGGUGUGGGGAGGAAUUCACUCCUACCUCCCCAGGCCAGGGGUUUGCCUGAUGCUGCUCAGCAUGGUGUGGAAAGCAUAUAGGUUCCUUGUUAGAUGCCAGGGAUGUUUUCCUCCGUGCACUUUCUUCAGACUCAAGAUUAUAGCCUACAGAUUAUCGUGGGACCAGUCAGAAGCCAACCACAGAGGGGCAAGUAAGCCAGAGAUGGAGAAAGGAGAGUGGCCUGCAGCCGGCCAUGCACGGCGGUCACCUAUAGGAAGGUCUGGUUUAGCCAAAAUUAUUCUAGACAUACAUGGAUGAGCAAUCAUAGACAAGGAGAGCUGGAUUAAAUCCAACAAGGUAAACUGACGAUAAAUGAAAUGUAUACCGGGCACCCUUCUAGCUUUCAGAUUCAUAGACAAUAAGCCUUGUCUUACCUUGUCAUUUUAGAAAUAAGCACACUAUGACUCAAGGUGGCCAAAACGUAUCCAGUUACACACAGGACACCAGUGCACAAUUGAAGACAAAGACUGUUUCCUAGAAUGGUGUUUUAACACUUUGUUGUGGAAACUAAAUUUAAAGAAUUUCUUCAAUUCAGUCGCAUCAAGUGUUUUUUCUUACCGUCAUUUUUAAGACCUUUUUUUUUUUAACAGAAGUUUUAGGUUCACAGCAUAACUGAGAGGAAGGUACAGAGAUUUCCCGCAUGCCUCCUGCCCCCACACAUGCACAGCCUCCCCCACUGCGAACAUCCCCCAUCAGAGUGCUGCAUCUGUUGUAGCUGAUGAACAUACAUUGACUCAUUAUUAUCAUCCACAUCCACAGUUGACACGAGGAUUCCUUCUUGGUCUUGUACAAUCUACGGUUUGGGACAAAUGUGUAAUGACAUGUACUACCAUUAUAAUAUCAUGCCGACUUUUUCACUACCCUGAAAAUCCUCUGUGCUCUGCCUGUUCAUCUGUCCCUCCUCCCUAGCCCCUGGUAACAACUGAUCUUUCCAUUGUAUCCAUAGUUUUCUAAAUGUCAUGACCCUGUCUUUUUUUAUUCUUAAAUAAGAUCAAAUGCUUUCAGUCUUUAAAGGAUAAUCAAGUGACAGAAUUCUUACUCCAGUUCACCCAGAAAUAUGGCUUUCUUGUACCUUUAGAGCAGAGCUGUGCAGAUAAGAAUGUUUAAUGGCCAUCAUGUUUAAUGGCCAAAAAUGGUGGAAAGCAGGGAGUUCCCUGGUGGCAUAGUGGGUUAAGGAUUUGGUGUUGUCACAGUUGCGGCUCUGGUUGCUGUUGCAGUGCAGGUUUGAUCCCUGGCCUGGGAAUAUCCGUAUGCCUUGGCUACACCACCCCCGCCAAAAAAAGCAGUGGAAAGCAGUCAAAGAACAUUUACAUGAGUUCUACACCAAGCCUGCUUAAAAAAACACCCUUCCUUAGUAGGCACAAUUGAGAACAUUAUCAUAUGCACAGAGUGUUAUCAGGUGAUUGUUUCACAGACCCCUCCCCAAGCCUCAUCAGUUCUAUCAGGAAGAAAUAAAACUCCAGUUUCACAUUCCAAGGUCCUCUAAGACACCCAAGGAAAACCCAUGUUUAGACAGAUCAGAGGAACUCUUGGUUCUCACAAAGCAGAUCAGCAGCCUAGAAACAGAGAGGGGCCCUCCACAGCUUUGCAGAGGAGGUGUCCUGAUGCUCUGGGCUGGGCCCUCUUUUGUAAAGGCUGGCCCUGCCCAUGUUGGCUUAGACACACCCAUGCCGGGAGAGGCUUGCAUGCUCUCCAGCUGCCAUGAAAGGCCAGGCUUGCCUUGGGAAGUGGAGCCAAGAAUAAUUAGCUGCUGUUCCCCUGGGAGCCCAGGUCCCCAGAGAAGGCUAUUCUGGGAGGGAAUGCAUAGUUGACAGCAUCCAGGCAAUGAGGGCCAGAGUGUUGGUUGACGAUAUCCCAAGUGCCAAGGCAGGAACCAUGUCCUGUGUAACUAUUCUCAGUCUCUCACCUCGUACCUGGUACAGUUAGAGUCUCAUCAGGUGCUUUUUUGAGUGAAUGAACAAACAGAACUUACUCUCUAAAUAAAAGAUAUCCCCCAAACGCUCAAAAAUCUUUCUUUGCACAGAGUUCUUAAUGUAGUCAGUGACAGGGAUUGCUUCUCUGCUGUCAUCAAAAUUGGGCCUAUUAUUAGCAUGGCUUGUAGUUGGUUCAACUGGCCCAGAGUUGGUAUGCCAUGAGCCUUUAACUCACAACAAAUGAUAACCACAGGAAACAUGUGCCUGGUGCAGGCAGAAGACUGCACAGAGCUGUGGUUUCUCUACAUAUGCACACGUUUUAUUUUGUUUUUUUCCUGUGUAGAAUUUCAAAAUUGAAAAACCACAUGCCUUGAAUUAUAAAUGCAAUAAACAAAUAACAUUAGCUCUCUUUCUUGCUCUGUUGUAUUUAAGGAUGAUGCUCUGGGAUAAUUUUCAUCUGGGGAUAGAGGUGCUAUAUUGCUAUUGGGGCUAAAGCCAUAAAAAUUAUCUUGGCUUUUUUUAGGUAAUUUCAAAAAUAGAUCACAAGACGUUAAGCCUGGGGCCUCUUCCAAUUGUGCAAGGGCUGCAGUUACAUUAACAAUUAUGAGGGCAGAAGCUGUGUCAAUUGUAAUCACUUUUAACAUCAUUUUUGGGCCAUUAUAGCCAUACCGUGUUUUGGUGAGAACAUUUAAUCUUGCUUCUUUAUUCAGAUACACUGAAGGGGCUUCCUUAGACCAGAAGUUGACCAGCCAUCUCUGUAAAGGGCCUGAUGAUAAGUAUUUUAUGCUCUGUGGCUUGUGUGGUGUCUGCUCUGCCUGUUGAGUCUGAUGUGUGGGAGCACGUCAGCAAUACAUGAGUGAACAAGCAUGGCUGCUUUCCCAUAAAACUUUAUUUAUGGACCUGAUAUUGCAAUUUCAUGUUAUUUUUAUUCAUUAUGGGAUAUGAUUCCUUUGACUUUUUGCAUCCAUUUAAAAAAGUGAAGUCAUUUUUAACUCACAGCUAUAUAUGAAAUGCAGAUGAUAGUCAGACUGGGCUCAUGGGCUAUAGUUGGCUGACCCCCUGUAUUAGACUCCCUCCACCUCAUCACACAUGACUCUCACUUGCUUUUUGUCAAUGGCUGACUUUCCAUUCAGACUAGGGCAAAACCCAUCACCCAGGGCCCAGAACCUAUUCCACUGCCCUUGGCAGCCACCACACAGCCCCACCAGUCACACACCUGGAAUUUCUGUCUCCUCCUCCCAUUUUUAGAAUAGUGUAGAAGAACUACACCUUGGGACAGGAAGCUGGCAUCAUGAAGUUCAUCAAAGGGACCAAGCCAUUCAACUCAGAAGCAUGGAGCAGUUAAUUGCCAAUGAGGCCCUCUUGGUUCAAUGGGAGGGGGCCUGCUUGGUCCAUGGUAUCACUGUUUCUUGUGCAAAAUAUUCUGAGGAAUGCCACCUGGCUGAGUGUUUGUACCUUUUAAGUGGGAUGCUCUGUCCAGAAAUAUCCAUCUCCCAGGAGUUGCUUCCUACGCUUUCCUUUCUCACUUUCCUUUUUCUGAUCUCUGGUUGCCCUAGGUUUGUAGCUCCCUUAUAAAGCACUUAAUCCUUUCCUCAGGCUCUUUUUCUGGGGAACCCAGCUAAGACAUUCUUAAGAAGAUAUACAAACACUAAAGAGUUCUCAGUCCAAAAGUAAAUAAAUAAAAGUAAGAAGUCUAUCAUUCAGUGUACUCAAAAUACACGAUAGGGAUUCUGAAUUCAGCCAGGGCCAGUCAGUUCCUGUAAAUGCAUGAGCCAGUGAGGAGUGAUGCCAGCUGGGGAGCAGGCCUCCUUCAAAGAGGGAAGACAGAAUUUAGCUUCAGUGAUGCCAGUGCCCUGUAGGAAAGUGGGCUCAGGAGUCCCAGAUCUUUCUAUUCUUCCAGACUAGUUACCCAUCUCAAAUUUUGUAUGAAUUUUCCGUAGUUUUAAAUGUUGGGAACUAAUUUUACAGCUAUAAACUCCAUGUAUGGUUAAACGUGUGGGCUAGAAUUUGUUCAUGCAAUCUCUGGCUUGUGCCCUAGCUGGGGAGAGCAUGUGCUAAAUGAGUUGUGGAAUGUGAGAGAAGCAACCAAGGAGAACCAGGGAGUGCCUCAUGUAAGAGGUGUGUCUCAGGUGUGGCCAUUUUUUCUUUGUCAGUUCCCCCGGAAGAAGGAUAAAGCACUCAACUGUUCACAGUUAGGGCUCUGUUCUGUUUGUUCAACUGAGAAGACUUGGCCUAUGAUUUUUGAAAAAUGCCAUGUACUACCAGUCCUGGAGUGUUGUAUAUGAUCAAGACAGGAACGAUGGCUGAUAUUUUUUUUUUUCAGUCUCAUACCCAGUGUUUGCCUAUUUUCUGUGACAUUCCAAACAGGGAGGAGUCUUACUUGUUUGAAGACCUCUGCUCAAAACUCUCCAAGCUUUUGAUUUCAUGUUGACAUUUGCAUAAAUGUGAGUGCUGCAUUCACCUUACAUUUAUUUCUUUUUUAAAAUCUUUUUAGGGCUGCAUCCAUGGCAUGUGGAAAUUCCCAGACUAGGCAUCAAAUAGGAGCUGUGGCUGCUGGCCUACAACACAGCAAUGAGGAAUCCAAGCCGCAUCUGCAACCUACACCACAGCUCACUGCAGUGCCAGAUCCUUAACCCACUGAGCGAGACCAGGGAUGGAUCCCAUAUCCUCAUGGAUAGAGUCGGGUUUGUUUCUGCUGAGCCACAACGGAAACUCCCUUACAUUUAUUUCUUUUACCCUUAGCCUGACUUUAUGUUUAUCUCCAGGUAAUACAUUUCAUAUUUGUCCUAUUCUACUGAGGAGAACUUUUUCUGGAAAAUAAUUAGUUUUGUCUCAUAAAAUCUUCCUUUUUUUGGUUAAAACCUCUCAGCUCCUUCAACCACUCUUCCCAGGCAUUACUUCCAGUCUUUUCGCUAUUUUCUUAGUCUGACCAUGUGCUUGAUUGUCUAAAUCUCUUAGGACCUGGAACCAUAUAUUGAAAAAAACUUAUAGAGAGUUCCUGUCGUGGCGCAGUGGAAAUGAAUCCGAUUAGGAACCAUGAGGUUGCGGGUUUGAUCCCUGGUUGUGGGUUAAGGAUCCUGCGUUGCUGUGGCUGUGGUGUAGGCCGGCAGCUAUUAGACUCUUAGCCUGGGAACCUCCAUGUGCCGUGUGUGCCCUAAAAAGACAAAAAGACAAAAAAAAAAAAAAAAAAANAGAAAAAG